rnacentral:rRNA from 1 species
AGCGAACGCUGGCGGCAGGCUUAACACAUGCAAGUCGAGCGGGCAUCCUUGUGGUGUCAGCGGCAGACGGGUGAGUAACGCGUGGGAACGUGCCCUUCGGUUCGGAAUAACUCAGGGAAACUUGAGCUAAUACCGGAUACGCCCUUUUGGGGAAAGGUUUACUGCCGAAGGAUCGGCCCGCGUCUGAUUAGCUUGUUGGUGAGGUUAUGGCUCACCAAGGCGACGAUCAGUAGCUGGUCUGAGAGGAUGAUCAGCCACACUGGGACUGAGACACGGCCCAGACUCCUACGGGAGGCAGCAGUGGGGAAUAUUGGACAAUGGGGGCAACCCUGAUCCAGCCAUGCCGCGUGAGUGAUGACGGCCUUAGGGUUGUAAAGCUCUUUUCUCCGGGACGAUAAUGACGGUACCGGAGGAAUAAGCCCCGGCUAACUUCGUG